GUGCCAGCCGCCGCGGUAAUACGUAGGGUGCGAGCGUUGUUCGGAGUUAUUGGGCGUAAAGGGCGUGUAGGCGGCUUGAGAAGUCUGGUUUGAAAUGCACUGGCUCAACUGGUGCGCUGGGUCAGAAACUGGCAGGCUUGAGUUCAUGGGGAGGAGCUGGAAUUCCAGGUGUAGGGGUGAAAUCUGUAGAGAUCUGGAAGAACACCGGUAGCGAAGGCGGGCUCCUAUGGAUGGACUGACGCUGAGGCGCGAAAGCGUGGGGAGCAAACAGGAUUAGAAACCCCUGUAGUCC
rnacentral:rRNA from 1 species